CUGAAUGGUGCUAAGCAUAGGUACAAGACAGAGAGGGGCCGCCAGGUGGGUGUUGCUGUUAUCAGAUUGGGACCUUGAGCCAGUGUGAGCAGAAAGUAUGAGGAGAAGACACCAUAAAACCCAGAAGGCCAGCUCCAUUUGAAUUGCAAGUCUCAAAAGCAAGUGGGAGAUGCCUGCUAUCUGCAACUCUAAGGAUAUUCACAUGAGUGACUUCAAGUGACUGAAUCUCAAUGGUUCUGAAAGUGAAAAACAAAUGUGAUAAGGGCAGGACAUUGAGCAAAGGAAGAAAUGGCUUAUAUAUCACCUCAAGGAAAAUGUCUGCUGUGAAAUCUUAACCUUGGACGAACAUAAACAGGUGCAAGUGGCCAGUGCUGCAAUUCACCUGCCAGGAUAGUGUCAUCAGGGCCCAGUAUGAGCCCUGGUCACCAUCCAGCAGCAACAAGUCUUAUCAAAGUGAUUUGAAGCCUGACUAGUCACCAUCCUCUCCCAUGUCAUCAGUACUUAAUGGGGACCUGAAUUCCACUCCCAUUCAACACCAAGGAGAUUGAACAAAGCAAUGUCCUCCCCAGUUUGGGUGCGGUCUUGAAAAUGGCAGCUUGAAUUCCAGUGUGGUACCCUGGGCACUUGUUCCAAGAAGAACAGAAUAGAC